GUAGGUGGCAAGCGUUGUCCGGAAUUAUUGGGCGUAAAGCGCGCGCAGGCGGUCCCUUAAGUCUGAUGUGAAAGCCCACGGCUCAACCGUGGAGGGUCAUUGGAAACUGGGGGACUUGAGUACAGAAGAGGAAAGCGGAAUUCCAAGUGUAGCGGUGAAAUGCGUAGAGAUUUGGAGGAACACCAGUGGCGAAGGCGGCUUUCUGGUCUGUAACUGACGCUGAGGCGCGAAAGCGUGGGGAGCAAACAGGAUUAGAUACCCUGGUAGUCCACGCCGUAAACGAUGAGUGCUAAGUGUUAGGGGGUUUCCCGCCCCCUUAGUGCUGCAGCUAACGCAUUAAGCACUCCGCCUGGGGAGUACGGCCCGCAAGGCUG
rnacentral:rRNA from 1 species